GUGUUUACUUUGGCAGCACAUAUACUAAAAUCGGAACGAUACAGAGAAGAUUAGCGUGGCCCUUGCGCAAGGAUGACAUGCAAAUUCGUGAAGCAUUCCAUAUUUUU
rnacentral:snRNA from 1 species